GAUUGCCUUGCCUCACACAGGACCUUGGUGUGUGAAUAGCUCACACUGACUGAACUGGAUAACUGGGCAGGAGGACUCAUUUGCUGUGCCUGUGGGCUUAAUAAAAAGAAACAGCUUGCCGGUAACUGCUUGCUAUAUGCAUGUAGACCAGACUUUGGACUGCCACAAAAGAAGAAGAAGAGGGAACCUAAUCAGAUUUUCGCUCUCCACCUUACCUUCGGAAUCUCUGCAUUUCUCACUCAUGAAAUUUCAUUGAAUCAGAUCAAAUAAUCCUGCCCUAGAACAGCCAGAGAGAUUGCAUUGGAAUUCUGUGACACACGCUAAGGAGGAUCUCUGUUCCAAGCAUAUGAAUGGGAUUCAAGACUGACUACUGGCAACUUAAUGAGUGCCUAUAAAUAACUCAACAUAGCUCUGCCAAACAAACAUUGGGAUGAGCUGAAGUCACAAUUGAUCCACAGUGCCAGCCUUCUCAGGCAACCAGUUGUUUCCAUUAGCAGUGCAAAUUCUUGGCCAGCAGUAAAGCUUAAAUAGAAUGAUGAUUCCCUGAAAAUGUGGUCUUCUUCCCUACACUGCAAGCAUCACAUUCAGACAUAAUGGGGAUGCAUGCAGUAGAUCUUAUGAAGAAAGAAAGCCACACUUGAUGCCUUAAUUCUCAUACUGCUUUGUUUCUCAAAUAAACUGAUUUGUCUUGAACACACAAAUAAAGCAUAUGAUUGCAUGUUCCACACUUUUAAAUCAGUAAAUUAGGCUUGCAAAGCUGCUUUUUUAAAAGCCCCAAAUUAUUGUGGCCCCAAUCUUUGGAACCUAACUUGGUUGCUAGAGAAAGAGACUGCAUGCUACAUUAAAAUUCCAGUGUGGUAUGGUUAGAUUAUUUAAAAUGUGGAUGGAAUAAAGUAGCAAACCUAACUUGGGUGCUUGGUCUCUUGAUUUCCUCCUUUUCUGUAUCAUGGGGACUACUUUACGUGGUUGAGCCAUAUGUGGGGAUUUUACUGAUCUUUACAGCAUUACACAUUUGCAUCUUCUUGUAUUUUGACAGUUUCCAUCUCAGUGCUACAGUGGUACUACCACUGGUAAUCUAAGCAUUGCAUUUUCUGAUAAGACUAAAGGGGCAGGAUCAUCAGGUGUGUGCAAUCCCAUUCUGUAGAUUCUCCUCUCUGCAUGAAUCCCUAUAGACACAGACAGCUUAAACCUGAGUAUCAUGGUUGCAAUCCUACGUUUCAUCAUUGUGUAAUCUUUUGAAUCCAGGGCAUAUGUACAGAAGGAAGAUGAAUGUGUUAAACCUGGUUUGACAUGAACAACUGCAUCAGUUAUUUAAAUAUUUUAUGAGGGUUUUUUUUAAUUGUUUAUUUUUUCCAGA